rnacentral:rRNA from 1 species
UACAGAGGUCUCAAGCGUUGUUCGGAUUCAUUGGGCGUAAAGGGUGCGUAGGCGGCGGGGUAAGUCUGAUGUGAAAGGCCGGGGCUCAACCUCGGGACUGCAUUGGAUACUGCCUUGCUCGAGAACUGGAGAGGAGACUGGAAUUUACGGUGUAGCAGUGAAAUGCGUAGAGAUCGUAAGGAAGACCAGUGGCGAAGGCGAGUCUCUGGACAGAUUCUGACGCUGAGGCACGAAGGCCAGGGGAGCAAACGGG